rnacentral:lncRNA from 1 species
GAGUUAUUCAUGCUUCUAUCUCUGAGACAGUCAUCCAGGUAUCAUAGUAUUCCUGCCUUUAUAUAAGUUAGUUUAUAAAGAUCAGGCUGGCAAAGAGGUGUUAUGACAGACGGUACUUUGAAAACAAAGUCUUCACGCUGAUAGCCCUUCUCAAGUACAUUCAAUGAAGGUCAGAUGAGGAUAAAAAACUAACUCUUGACAAUACUGAUAUCUUUCACUUAAGGGUCUUCUGUUUGAUCUGCAGCAAGAAGAAAACACUGCUCCUCGACUACAUGAUGCACUUGGCUUCUAAACCCCAAGCUAACCAGACUAUCCUAUAUCCUCUAUUUGCUCCAUUCACCUGUAUAUCCCUUCUUGUGGGGCCAUGGAAAACCGUGGAGCAAGGGCAAGAGUCCUUGUGCUUUUCAGCUUGGCUUCUAUUCUAAUAAGAAAGAAGAAAGUCAGCAUUUCAUGUCCCAAGAGCAUGAACGUCUUGCCCUGCUUUGACUCAGGCAAAGAACAUCUCCAGACCAAGUGUCCUCUGGCGGUAUGUAAGUAUCCUUACAAUUUCUAUCGCAUGGCCUGCCCCGCAGUCUCUUCGCCAGUACCAUUCCAUGAUUAGUAAAUGCACAGACGUAAAAGAAACCUGCCAGUGCCUUGAAGUGAAAUCUCAGCACAUCAUAACACAUCACACUGAAAGCAGUGUAAUAAAAACAGGUAUCCAGGUUUAAGGAAAUAAGAG